GCCCUGGUAGCUCAGCAGGAUAGAGCGUCCGCCUCCUAAGCGGAAGGUCAGAGGUUCGAAUCCUCUCCAGGGCGCCA
rnacentral:tRNA from 1 species